UGUCAAGGGAUGGGAAUCGAACCCACGACCUUCCGCUUACCGGGCAAUGCCAUGACCACUAGGCUAUCCUGGAC